rnacentral:misc_RNA from 1 species
GUAGGUGAACCUGCGGAAGGAUCAUUAUUGAAUUCAAAUCAUCUGUGGCUUCGGUCCGGAUGUGCCAACAGGUAACACUGUUGGUAAUUCUAUCCAUAACACCUGUGAACUGUUGGAUGCUUGCAUCCACUUUUAUACUAAACAUUAUUGUAACAAAUGUAGUCUUAUUAUAACAUAAUAAAACUUUUAACAACGGAUCUCUUGGCUCUC